GACGAACGCUGGCGGCGCGCUUAACACAUGCAAGUCGAACGGAAAGGCCUGCUUUCCCUUGUGGAUUGCGGGUACUCGAGUGGCGAACGGGUGAGUAACACGUGAGCGAUCUGCCCCCAACUUGGGUAUAAGCCUGGGAAACUGGGUCUAAUUCCCGAUAGGACUGCAGGGUGGUGCCUGUGGUGGAAAACGAUUUUCUAGUGGUUGGGGAUGAGCUCGCGGCCUAUCAGCUUGUUGGUGGGGUAAUGGCCUACCAAGGCGGCGACGGGUAGCCGGCCUGAGAGGGUGGACGGCCACAUUGGGACUGAGAUACGGCCCAGACUCCUACGGGAGGCAGCAGUGGGGAAUGUUGCACAAUGGGCGGAAGCCUGAUGCAGCGACGCCGCGUGGGGGAUGACGGCCUUCGGGUUGUAAACUCCUUUCGACCGCGAGGAAGCCACCUGGUUGGAAGGGUGGUGACGGUAGUGGUAGAAGAAGCACCGGCUAACUACGUG
rnacentral:rRNA from 1 species